GCUGGCGGCACGCCUAAUACAUGCAAGUCGAACGAAGUAGCAAUACUUAGUGGCGAACGGGUGAGUAUAAUGUGGGUAUCUGCCUUUUGGUGAGGAAUAACACGGGGAAACUUGUGCUAAUACCUCAUAAGCCUUCACAGGGAAAGUUUUAACGCCAAAAGAUGAGCCCGCACUUGAUUAGCUAGUUGGUAAGGUAAAAGCUUACCAAGGCUACGAUCAAUAGCUGAUCUGAGAGGAUGAUCAGCCACAUUGGGACUGAGACACGGCCCAAACUCCUACGGGAGGCAGCAGUAGGGAAUCUUGCACAAUGGGGGAAACCCUGAUGCAGCGAUGCCGCGUGAGUGAAGAAGGCCUUUGGGUUGUAAAGCUCUUUCGUCGGGGAAGAAAAUGACUGUACCCGAAUAAGAAGGUCCGGCUAACUUCGUGCCAGCAGCCGCGGUAAUACGAAGGGACCUAGCGUAGUUCGGAAUUACUGGGCUUAAAGAGCUCGUAGGUGGUUAGAAAAGUUGGUGGUGAAAUCCCAAGGCUUAACCUUGGAACUGCCAUCAAAACUUUUUGACUAGAGUAUGAUAGAGGAAAGUGGAAUUUCUAGUGUAGAGGUGAAAUUCGUAGAUAUUAGAAAGAACACCGAUUGCGAAGGCAGCUUUCUGGAUCAUUACUGACACUGAGGAGCGAAAGCAUGGGUAGCGAAGAGGAUUAGAUACCCUCGUAGUCCAUGCCGUAAACGAUGUGUGCUAGACGUUGGAAAUUUAUUUUCAGUGUCGCAGCAAAAGCAUUAAGCACACCGCCUGGGGAGUACGACCGCAAGUCAACUCAAUGAUGACGUC
rnacentral:rRNA from 1 species